AUUAUUAAAGAGCUAUAAAUUGUAAGUAAAUAACAAUUAUGAAAGCAAAAAAUUAUGGCGGUAUUUUAAGCUUUUCAGAGGAAUUUGCUCUAUAAUGGAUAAAACACCCUAAUCUUACUUAAAUUUGUUAAAACAGUUUGUAUACCACUAUAAAAUUAAUUAUUAAUUUUAAUUAAUAAAAUUUAAUUUUUUUUAAAAAAAAUUAAGUCAAGGUGCAGCAAAAAUUUAAGAAUGAAGUGAAUUACAAUUCUUAUUAGAGAUAAUUAUAAUUAAAAUUAUUUUAGGAUUUGAAAGUAAAAUUAAAAUAGAAUGUUAAUUUGAAUCAAGCUCUAAAAUAUGUAC
rnacentral:rRNA from 1 species